rnacentral:lncRNA from 1 species
AGUGUCCCAACCGUAGUCACCAGGGAAUUCACCAGUAAGGUAUGAUGGGGCUUCACCAGAGAAUGGUCCCAAGUAUUUAACUCUGUCAGGACCAUACCAUGGGCUAGAUGAAACUGUCUUUGGCUUUGGUACCGUCUUUCUCAUGGAGAUUCUUCCCUCACCGAGAAGCUCAGAUGAUGAUGGGGAAAGUUUUACCGCCUUUCCAGCAAAAGUAGAAGAAAGUGCCAUUGUUGAAGCAGCCAUUGUAAGUGUAAAAAGAGAAGGUUUUACACUAAAAAUGAAGAUUAAUGCUAUUAGUUUGAGAUGUUUGUAACACUUGUAAGAGUCUGUAUUAAUAGUACUGAAAGGGUAAGAGGUAGUCCUUAUCUUUCAAAGAUCUCUAUAUCUCUUCCUAUUGGCUAGUGUCAUUUUGGAUUGAUUUGUUUCCCUACUUCACAAUUUUCAAACCCUGAGAACCACCCAAAUAUUUUUGUGGCUCCUGAACUUCAGUCCACAUAAUAAUACUUACAAAAACUUUCAAAAUAUCCCAGGUCCACAUAUGAAGACACUCUUGUGGGUGUGUAUCGUCUGCGAAUGGUUGUGUGACAAAUGUCGAAUAAGAUCUUCUUAUAUCUUAGAGAUAUUGUAGGUUGUUUACUGCAACUUGUACAUGCCUUAGGCCAUCAGUGUAUCAGUAUCAAAAUAGUUGUUGUGAUGGGAGCAUAAUGAUGAUAUAAUAGUAAGUAAGGAAAAUAAAUGUGAUCAGGUCUGACGAUUUUCUUUGGGAAAGCAGUCGUUAAUUGAUAAACUAAACUACGGCAAGGGUGGGAAAUAGAUUGUCACAUAUACAUAAGCAGCAAUACUAUGAUCAUGAUCGUGCAUGUACCAUGAUAAACGAAACCAAAGUUUGAAUGUACCAUGAUAAACGAAACCAGAGUUUGAUGAGGAACUUACUUGUGCUUACAGACAGAGUAGGCCUAUCUCAUCAUAUUUCAUGACAAGCUAGUUCCAUUACAUAACAUAGCACAUUUGAAGAAGCCCUUGGUAGACACACUGACUUUUUACAAAAAAAUUCCAGUUCUUUUGAUCUGUCUCUUGAUAUGGCACCCAUUGUGGUGAUGGUCAUUUUCUCCAAUACUGGGGAAUUCUUCAGGAAAAAUUCAAGAAGUUUGACUUCAUUCUCAAAACCUUCAAUACCUUGGAUCUCAACUGAUUUGAGUUUAUAAAACCUGCAGUGAAACAACAAUCCCUCUCCCCAUUUUCCAUCCUUGUUUGAUGAUCUGUAGAGGUCCUGCUAAGAUAGAUUGUCAUGGUUUUCGGUUAAAACAACAUGAGAGCAUGGAACAUAAUAAAUACGAAGAUAUGCUAAACAAAUAUAUUUCAUUGUUUUGUUUAUACCUGAACCUGAGCUUUCUCCAGAACAAGAGUUUCUAUGGAAGGGAACCUUUGAAAUAAUAACUCUGCCAAGCCAUGAAUAUAACCUCUGUUACACCAAUCUGUAACCUUGAUAUAUCUUAUAUUGUCGAAACAUGGCACUUCUUCCCAAGUAAUUCGUAGUUCUGCAGGAGCCUUUUGUAGAAAGGAUUUAUUAGAUUCUAUAGCUAACAAAUAUCAUGGUGACGACGGGAAGUAAACCUGUAGUAAGAAAUUAAUAAAGCAUACCUGAAAAUCAUAAGCUGACAGUGUUAAGGAUUUUACGUUAUAAAGAUGUUUGAUUAUUUGCAGUUUGUUUUCCCAUUCAACAAACCCAUGAGCUUUCGUGUCGACAUGUGCUUUUUGCAACAACGGGAGAUUUUCAAAAGAAUAUAGUGGAUGUGCACGACCUAUCAAAUAGAGUUCUAGUAAGUUUUCAGCACAAAUCGCGAUCCCUUCAACCAACAAAUACUUCAAUCGAGGAGCUUUCAUUGUAAUACUAUUCGAAACUAUCCAAUUAUUCGUGUGUCGAAAAACUUGAACCUAGGUUGUUAUUUCUACACUCAAUCUUACCAUCAAACAAAAUUUGUACUCCUAUAAGUUUCAAGCUCUUGACCUUAUUAACUAAACAUUGCAACAAAGAAAACUUCAGAACAUCUCCUUCAAAAUAAAGCUCUUGAACAUUCUUUUUUAAUACUAUAUUAAUCCAUGCAUGGAUUUCGUUUAUAACACAAAAACAUCGUUAACAAACGAGAUAAAACCAUAACCAUUUCCUUUUAUCCAUGUUUCAUCAUCAAAGUUUAAAGAAAAAACAGAUUUCCAUAAAUACCUCCAUCUUUUUGAAAGAAUGCUAGUUUGAACUACUUGUUUCAUGUCAAGCAUUGAAAGGAUAUCAUGGAGUAAAUUAUUAGAUAAAAGACUAAUCCUAUCUGAACCUGCUGAAUCAGAACUUUUCAUCAUUUUCCUCUCUUUAGGGUUUGAACUUUGAAGGCGUCAAGAACUAGGGUUUCUGAUUAAAUAAGGAAACAAAAUGCUGAUUUAUACUUGUUGAGGGUAUUAUGGUCAAAUACUUUUUCUUGGGCUGAGCUUAAAAAGAUGGAAUGUUUUAUUCUACAAAGCCCAGAAAUAAAAAAAAUUAUGGCAGGAAAUCUUGAUUUACUAAGAAAAAUGUUUUUUUAAAAAAAAAAUACUAAUGGGAUUAUAUAAAAAAUAAUACUGCUGCAGUGCUGCAGUCUAUUGAGUUUCGAUUGAUUCUAUGUUGUAGAUUUUACAGCUGACAGUCUCGCAAUUAAGAUCAAACUAUUGUCGAAAAAAUUCCUAAUGAUUAAUCAUUUUUUUGAAACGCUUCAACAAAAAUAUUACACAAAAGUUCCUUGUGGGAACUGUUAUUUCCUCUUUCAAUAUUAUUAACUUUUAUUGUUAUAAUAAAAAAUGAAGAAUUAAAUUUAUAAUAGCUAACACAUGCCAUGUGGACAAGUGCAGAAUUCCUGAUGGAGAAAGAAUUAAGACUAGGAUAACAAUCAGAGAUUCCUCCUUUUAUUAGGGGUGCUAUUCGAGCCGCUCGAGCCGAGCUAAGGUAUGCUCAAACUCGGCUCGUUACUAACCGAGCCGAGCUCGAGCCGAGCUUAAAAUUAAGAUCGAGCCGAACUAUGAGCUCGAGCUCGGCUCGCGAGCCAAAAGUAAAACUCGAGCUCGGCUCGUUUCGGCUCGCUGGCUCGUUUGGCUCGUUCGGCUCGUAAACAACAAUAUGCAAUAAAAAUAGGGUCAAUUGGCCAAUACACCCCUUUUUUGUGUCACGUUUGGCCAAUACAUCCCAUUAGUCUAAUAUUUGCUUUUAAUUUACCACCUGUUUAACUGUUUGACUCUGUUACAACAAACAGUCAACUGGGUUUAACUAAUAUACUAAUCAACUAAAUAGAAAUGAAAGUAUAAAUUAAUUAACAUGUUAGUGGAGUUGAUUAAUGAUAAUCAGCUGAAAUUUAAGUUGAUUAAUAAGUUAAUCAACAAACAUUUGAGUUAAUUAAUAUGAUAAUCAACUGAUAUUUAAGUUGAUUAAUGUACUAAUCAACUAUUAUUGAGUUGAUUAGCAUGUUAAUCAACUGAUAUUUGAGUUGAUUAAUGUACUAAUCAACUAUUGUUGAGUUGAUUAAUAUACUAAUCAACUAAAUAGAAAUGAAAGUAUAAAUUAAUUAACAUGUUAGUAGAGUUGAUUAAUGAUAAUCAGCUGAAAUUUAAGUUGAUUAAUAAGUUAAUCAACAAACAUUUGAGUUAAUUAAUAUGAUAAUCAACUGAUAUUUAAGUUGAUUAAUGUACUAAUCAACUAUUAUUGAGUUGAUUAGCAUGUUAAUCAACUGAUAUUUGAGUUGAUUAAUGUACUAAUCAACUAUUGUUGAGUUGAUUAAUAUACUAAUCAACUAAAUAGAAAUGAAAGUAUAAAUUAAUUAACAUGUUAGUAGAGUUGAUUAAUGAUAAUCAGCUAAAAUUUAAGUUGAUUAAUAAGUUAAUCAACAAACAUUUGAGUUAAUUAAUAUGAUAAUCAACUGAUAUUUAAGUUGAUUAAUAUUUAAGGGGGUGUAUUGGCCAAUUGACCCAUAAAAAUAUGCACUGUAAACAACAAUAUUUUGGGUGAUUUACGUUGGCACUCUUUACAUUUCAGCACAAACUUCUUGGCGUCUUCUUUCAUUCUUGGCCAAAAAUAUCCUUGGGAGAUUGCCUUAUGAGCUAAUGUUCGACCUCCGGAGUGAUUUCCGCAUUCUCCUUCAUGAAUUUCUUGGAAGAUGAUUUGCCCAUGCUUCGGGAUCAAGCAUCUUAAGAAUAGACCAGUUGCAGAUUUUCUGAAUAGUUUACCUUCAUGGAGUUUAUAUAUAGUGACUUUAUGUAAUAACUGACUGGCUUCCUUUUUGUUGGAUGGUAAUGCACCAGUUUGAAGAUAAUUGAUGAAGGGUUCCAUCCAAGUCCCUUGGAUGUCUACCGGUGUUGUGGCUAGUAGAUCGCAGAUUUGGUGGAUGACUUCUUCUUUUAUUAGGUACGCAGAGUUGCGUACUGACUGCUAUAGUGAGAGCUCGAAGGUCGAUCUGAUUCGAUCUUGGAUGCUCAGAAUGUCACUGAAUCAGCAUGCCUGGUAUCGUCUCGAGGGAUGUNNNNNNNNNNNNNNNNNNNNNNNNNNNNNNNNNNNNNNNNNNNNNNNNNNNNNNNNNNNNNNNNNNNNNNNNNNNNNNNNNNNNNNNNNNNNNNNNNNNNNNNNNNNNNNNNNNNNNNNNNNNNNNNNNNNNNNNNNNNNNNNNNNNNNNNNNNNNNNNNNNNNNNNNNNNNNNNNNNNNNNNNNNNNNNNNNNNNNNNNNNNNNNNNNNNNNNNNNNNNNNNNNNNNNNNNNNNNNNNNNNNNNNNNNNNNNNNNNNNNNNNNNNNNNNNNNNNNNNNNNNNNNNNNNNNNNNNNNNNNNNNNNNNNNNNNNNNNNNNNNNNNNNNNNNNNNNNNNNNNNNNNNNNNNNNNNNNNNNNNNNNNNNNNNNNNNNNNNNNNNNNNNNNNNNNNNNNNNNNNNNNNNNNNNNNNNNNNNNNNNNNNNNNNNNNNNNNNNNNNNNNNNNNNNNNNNNNNNNNNNNNNNNNNNNNNNNNNNNNNNNNNNNNNNNNNNNNNNNNNNNNNNNNNNNNNNNNNNNNNNNNNNNNNNNNNNNNNNNNNNNNNNNNNNNNNNNNNNNNNNNNNNNNNNNNNNNNNNNNNNNNNNNNNNNNNNNNNNNNNNNNNNNNNNNNNNNNNNNNNNNNNNNNNNNNNNNNNNNNNNNNNNNNNNNNNNNNNNNNNNNNNNNNNNNNNUUUGGCCAUUAUAAACAAUUACUUGGGUCAAUUGUCGGUUCAGCUCUAAACCCUAAUAAAAAAAAAAACCGGCUCCAAAACCUAAUUUAUACUAAAAAGUGGUGACCAAAACCUAAAUCACCCCAAUAUUUCACUGUAAACAACAAUAUUUCACUGAUCAAACACACAAUAUGCAAUAAUAUAUCGUAAACAACAAUAUUUCACUGUAAAAAUACACUCUAAUGUCGCAAAGUAACAAAACAAACAUCUUCUAGUUUCUUAGAACACAAUUUCUUCUAGUAGACUGAAACACAAGCAUUAAAACAUAAAGUUAAAACAAACAAUCCAUCAUAAUUCCGCACACCCAAAAGUUAUAACAACCCAUCAUUGCUAACCAUCUUCAUGCCUUGCAUAAGUGAGAUAUCUUCAAGAAUUCCAAACCCUACAAAAACAAUGAUGCCUUGCUAAAUGUUUGCAUUUCACACCCGUCGUCAUGCCGUCUUGAUCUACAACCUCUUCAACAUCAAUCCAUACACCGGAUGUCUUUGCUCGUUUGUGUGCUCUAGAUAGUUGUACUGCUUCUUCUUGAGUUGAAGCUUGCAAGUUGACUUGUUCAUUUUCCAUAUUCGCAGGAGUUGCAGAAGAAGCUUCUAAAUCUAUUGGAUGCUCUUGAUUUGAUGUCGACAUAACCUGACAAAAAAAAAAUAUAUAUUAUACAACAUUUUAAUCAAACCAAACUGUUGCACAAGACAUGAAAUAAUCUAAUAAUGCAUAUAAGGUUCAACAGGUAGUUAAAUAGUGUAAUUACACGAUAGUAUAUACAUUUGAUAUCAAAAUAGUACAACUAUCUGGAGCACAUGUAUAACUGUCUGCAUAUUUCUUGUGUUAUUUCACACAAGCAUCUUAAUAUAUAUGCCACUUUAUCCAAUGUAAAUCAAUCAGCCAUUCAGCCCGAGUCAACUAAACUUGUGGAAGAUAACCGUCAGACUAAUUCACAGAGGACAGAAAUGUGACAUUUGUGUUAGCACUAUUACUACCCAAACAUAACUAGACAAUAUUUGUUGAUGUGAAUAUGAGUGUGUUUACAACUCAGGAUUCAAAGUCUAUCACCUGUUCCGACAUUACUUUGGUCUUUAAAAAUAGAUAAUCAUAAAUUUUUUUUCUUGGGUAUUUCAUUCAAAUUGUUCAGCAUGUUAUAACCUAAGAAAUUCCCAUUAUAAAAAUAAUAAUAAUAAUGUCUUAAACAACUUGAAAAAUCCUGCAGAAAGUAUUUCUAAGUUUAACCAUUGUUUUCUUGCAUACAAAAGAAUACUGCUAGUCCAUUUAAGGUGUAUUGUAUAUACACUUUAAAGACAAUUUCUCAAACAACAUAUAUGCAAUUCAAAUUCAAUUUCAACUUGUAAAGAAAUAAAUAAAGCUUCAAUCUUUAUUUUGAUAAACUUGGAAAAAAACACAAAAAUUCCAUACAGAUCUACAACUAAUUCGAAACUAAAAUUCAGCAAACCAAUUGAAUCAAAAAAUCCUAAUUAAUUAACUCAACUCACCUUGAGCAGACGCGAUGGAGAUCGACUGAUGGAGAAAAAAAAAACUAGAAUCGAUUGAUCAAAAGGAGAUCGACUGAUGGAGAAAUCAAAAGUGUAGAGAGAGUUGAGAUCGACUGAUCGAGAGAUAAAGUGAAGAGAGAGAGAGAAAAAAAAAAGUGGAGUGAUAGUGUGAUACUGAUGGUUGGCUGGUUGCAAGUGAUGGAGAUAGAAGCCCAAUUGCCCAAGCCCAUAGUUACCAUAAGCCCAACCGCCCAAGCCCAUAGUAAACGAGUUGCUCGGCUCGGCUCGUUUAGAGCUCGAGCUCGGCUCGGGCUCGUGACGAGCUCAAAAACCGGCUCGAACUCGGCUCGUUUAGAUAAAUGAGCGAGCCGAGCCCGAGCCGAGCCCGAGCCGCUCUGCUCAGAUAGCAGCCCUACCUUUUAUCCUGUUUUCGGUUCUUCAAUUUCCUCUAACACCUGUUCUUCAUCCUUGUUGUUGGAUGAUCUGUACAUGUCCUGAUAGCAAGAUAGCUAAAGACGAUAAGACGAUGAUUCUUAUAAGAUGGUCAUAUAUAUAUAUAAACAUUCAUUCCAUUAUGGGAGUUUGUGACUUGUGUUUGUCGGCUUAGAUUUAUUGAAUCUUCGCCGAGGUGGAGAAUUGUUGGAAUUUUUUGGAUGAAGGGAACUGUUUUGUUCAGGAACGUACGUACGCUGUUAGGACGUUCGUACGUUCCAUUCGACAGACGACUUUGCGGGGAAGGAACGUACGUACGUAGUUAGGGCGUACGUACGUCCCGUAUGACAGAUGACUUCUCCGUGUGGCUGAACGUACGAACGUCCAUUCGACGUACGUACGUCCUCCCUUGGUUUUGUGUAUAUGGGCCUGUUUAAGCCCAUUUCGUGUGUGUUUGUAUGGCUAUGUUAUAAAGCCAAUUGAGAAGGUUGGAAAACCUAAUCUUCAUGUGAGAGAGAUUGUGAGAAGCCAUUGGUGAGUUUGAGAGAACUCUUGUGAGGAAGAACACUUUGGUUUCUUCGAGAGGGCUUGUAUAAUCGUCUCUAUUUGGAAGAUUGUUGUUUUGGUCGUGGACGUAGGCAAUAUUUGCCGAACCACGUAAAUCUUGUGUUUUGUUUGUUUUGUUUUUGUUUUGUUUGAUUCACACACUAUUUCAAUCUUGGGUAUUGGUGCAUAAGCUUCCGCUGCGCACAACAAGUGGCAUCAGAGCUGCAGGCUAGAUCUUGUUCUUGAAAUCUCCCAAAAUUCAAAUGAAUAGAGUUGUUUGAUUGACUAACUUGACAACAUCCAACUUAAUUUCACAUAAUUUUUUUAUAUCCUGAGAUAUAUUUCUUAAUUAAAUAUCACCAUUAACAUUGGUUUUAAGUUUCACCUUUAGUUAAAUUCUAUCAAAAAGAGAGAUGUAGAUGAACUUGAAAUUUUCUUGCUUGAGCAAACAAAUUUCUGGUUACGAGUUCUCCGUCCGACCGUCCACAAGGAGAAGAACCAAGAACCGUUGCUAGAAUUUGUUAUGUUAGAUUGGGAUUUGGGUGUAUUUUUUUAUGAAAAAAAAAACAAAAAAAUUAGGUGUAUUUACUAAUGGGUGGGUUUACCCGAUUCCCCUUUACUUUAAAGUUACUCAUCAAUUUCCUCCACCAUCUCAUUUAAUACAAUAGCAACUGAAAAAUGUCAUCAUGAAAUGACAAAUCUUAGGGUCUGUUUGAUUCGAGUCCGGGAAAUAGAUUUUCCGGGAAAUUUCAAUUUCUCAUGUUUGAUUAAAUGGAAAAUAAGCGGUAAAUAUUUAAAACGACAUGAUAAGUUAAAAUGUUGGGACAAAUUGGAGCUCAAUUUUGUCGAACUCUCACUACAAACAUAUUUAAAUGAUUUUCCAAAAAAAUUCUUGAUCAAUGUAGCAUUAUAACUAUUUUAUCAAAAUUUUAUUUCCCGAAUAUUUGCACAUGGUAUAUCUAUUUCCCGGCAAACUCUUUUACCGCCUGAAUCAAACAGACCCUUAGACCAUAAAAAUUGAUAAGCAACUUUCAGUAACUAUCUCGUCCUCUUUAUAUAGUUAAACCUCUAUAAAUUAAUAGCCUUGGACCACUAAAAUUUUAUCAACACAGAGAUAUCAAUGUACAGAUAAAUUAAUAAAUAUUAAUUUACAAAGAUAUUUUAAUUUUUUCAAUUUAAAAACGAAUAUUGUAGAUUUGUGGUACUACUUAUAUUAUAUACAUCUUGAAGUUCGAAGUUCAAUGAAGUUUAUUGGGACCACUUAACGCUUUAAUAAAUUAUAGUAAAUAUAAAGAGUCAACUAGUAACACAAUUCCAGAUUUUUUUUUUAACACAUUACAUUUAAAGAUGAAAUUCAAUUAUAUUUAAACUUCAACAAAAAAAAUACUAGUAUUUAUUAAUUUUAAAAAACUUAACAUGUAGUUGCAUUAUUAUGUUGUUUAUAAGUAAUUAUUAACUAAUAAAACUAAUGGAACCUAUACAAUAUCAAAACAUAUUAUCUUAUAUUUUUGUUGAAAUUAUUAAUUAGCAUAUAGAUCCUAGGUCGGAUCAGAAAAUUCUAUUUUUAUCAAUUUACCGAGUAUUAAUUUAAAGAGGUUCUAUUGUAGAGAAUUUAUUUGCUCACUAGGGUUUUGCUCACCACACUCUCCAUCCAACCACACUCUCCAUCCAGCUUAUAUAAUUACACAUGUCCCAAAAAUCUUUAAAAAAUUUUGUUUCGUAACUACCAUUAAUUAAUGUUCCUGAUUUGCCCUUAGUUGAAUUACAAAAAUUACUAGUACAAUAAAUUAACAGUUCCACUACGUACCCUUGAUAUGUGGGAUUUUUUUUUCUCUCUUCAAAUCUUGAAUCACGUUUUUUCUUCUUCUACCCCAAUGAAAUCCAAAAAAGUAAAAAAAAAAAAAAAAAAAAUCUCUCUAUGAAUUAGUAUUAAAAAGAGCUAUAAGUCAUAACUCUUUUAAUGAAUUUUGAUUGUUAAUUUUAUAUUAAUGGAUUUAAGGGUUGGUAAUCUCUUUCGGUUCAUGAUAAUUUUAUAUUAAUGGAUACAAGUUAAAUUAGUUAAACAUUGCACCUGAAUUGAUAAUGGCCAUGGAAGAAUGAAAACAUUAAUAUAUAUUUUAGUAUGGUUCAUAUUUUUUUUUCUUCUGGGGCUAGUUAUGCUUGAAGUGGAGUGAGAACGAGUUCAUAUAUGGUAGAACUUGAAGAACUUUUGUCAAAUUCAACAAAAUAUACACAUGUUAAAAUCUUCCUUUCAUCCUUUGAAUAUAUUGCAGUGAAUAUGGUGAAAAAAUGUGCCAAACAAUGUUCAGUAACUUAGGAAGAAAUUAAAGAAGAUGAUCAGAGAAUAGGAGACCAACCAGGAGAGAGAAAAAAAUAUAUGAUAUCCCACUUUGUGUUUUAAAAAUUCAAAAUUGUAUUCUAUUAGGUAAGGGCAAAUUAGGAAGCUAAAGUAAUAGGUAGUUCAGGGGUGUCAAUGGGUCGGUUUCGGUUGGGUUUGACCGGUUUCGGUUCGGGUUUGACUUUUUGCGGGUUUUGGAGGUUUUAGAGUCAUAUUAUAAAAACCCAAAACCUAAUGGUUAAAAACUUUGGAUUUUUAACGGUUUUGGUUUCAGGUUUUUUGAAAUUACUAUAUAGAAUAUUAAAAUUGUUAAAUUUUAAUAUAAACUAAACCAAAAAAACACAAAUUUUAAAUUAUCAAUAAAACUUAAAUUAUAUAAUUGAAUAUUUCUAUAAAUAAGAUGGUCGUCAAUGAAACAUAUGAAGUAGUUUCAUGGUUCAUAAUCCUAAAGUAAAAUAAUACGGUAGUUGUCAUACGAACUUAUAUACAACCGAAUGUACGGAAAUAUAAAAAAUGAAAUUUCAAUCCAAAACAAAUUAAAAUUUAUACUGUGAGGACUUUCGGAACAUUAUAUAUAUGAACAUACUUACACAGAUAUCGCAUAUAUUUAAUAAAUUGACAAAUUCUUCCGAAGAAAAAUAUAGUAUUUAUGUUCUUACGUAUUUUUUAAUUAAAUUUUUUUUGUCAAAUGUACCAAAUAAAGACUAAUGUAAAUUUUAAGUUUAAUUAAUAAAAUCAUCUAGUUAGUGUAUUUAAUUUCACUAUUAAUAUUAUAUAUAUAAAAAAUAUUAAUUUUUUAAAUAAAAUUAAUCGGUUUCAGGUUUUUCGUUAAAAACUCAUAAAACCGCUACAAAAAAACUAUCGGUUUUGGAUUCUAUCGGUUCGGUUUUCAAAAUGUCCAUCUUAUUUUUUUUCACAAUUUUAAAAUCCAAAACCGCUAUAAUUGGUUUCGGUUUCGGUUAAUCGGCCAACCAUUGACACCCCCUGGUUAUGAUCAAAUUUCUACCAGAUUUUAGAACCAUGUUUAAUCAUCUUAGAGGGUGGGGACUGGUGAGCAAACGGGUGGUGAGCACAAAAUUUACAUAACUACAUACAUCUAAUCUCUUUAUUUCUCUCUUAAUCCGAACCGAAUACGUGUCAUCAUACUAACAACAGUAGUACUUCACUUCCUUGCUUUCCCCAUUCUCUCUCUGUAUCAACUAAAAAGUCCAAACAAAAGGCGAAUGAGCCUGUGGCUCAAUGGUAGCACCCCUCUCACAAAGUGGAGAGGUUGUGGGUUCGAAACACGUCAACAAUUGAUUGUUGAUAUAAGCUUCCACACGUAAUUUAAAAGGGUAGGGGUUCGACACAUCACUUUCUAUGCUGCUUAUGGACUUUCAGAAUGCCUUCAACCUUGUUGAUCAGUCUGCUAUGCUACGGGAGGUACGCAGUCAUUGUCCAUCUAUUGCUCUAUGGGUCAAAUACCUCUAUUGCCAACCUGCUCGUUGUAUCUAGGGUCUACUCAUAUUUGGUCAGCAACAGGGAUACAGCUGUUAGAAUUGUGGCCCAAUAACCAUUUGUUUAAGUCUAAAUUAAAUUGAUAUAAUCUUUUGGCUUUCCACAUUACAAUGUAAGUUGUAAUAAUUUAAGUAGUAUUAUUAGUAGUGUUCUUUAUUGUGAAGAACUCAAAGGUCUUGAUGGAAGACUAUAUAAGUACUACACUCCAUAGCUCCCUCUCAAUGCUCAAUCUCUACAAUAUAGGAACUAUCGCCUAGGUAGAUUUAAGGAGAAAUUGAGAGAAGUUAAGCUAUGGUUUUAUUGAAUGUAGAAGAUAUAAAAGUAUGUAUAUUUUGUAUAUUUUUACAUUAUUUUAUUUUGUGAUCGACCAAUACCUUAUACAUAUUCGAUCCUGGACAUUUUGUGUAAUCUAAGUUUAUAAGUAUUAGAUUUUAGUUCUUUCAUUUAGUAUAAUUUCAUUCUUUCAUUUGGUAUCAGUCGCCUCAAAAUGCAUAAUGGUUUUGGUUCAAUAUCAUAGGUUAUUUGAUUUUCUUUUAUUCUUCUCAUUUCCAAAAAUCUCAUAUUCAAUCUUACAAUUUCUUAGUCAUAUGAAUAUUGAUAUAGGAUUUAUAAUUUGAGUUUUGCUAAUUGAUAAUCAUUUUUUCAAUCACUUGGAAAGUUAUUUACAAAAUUUUGUUAGAUAUUUCUUUGUGAGAAAAUCAAGAAAAUACAUACCAAUUUUAUUUAAUUCCGCAUAUUAGUGAUUCCUGGGUAUUAUUGAAUUAAAUCGAACAUCCAGUAAUACUAUUAUUCUUAUUCUAUUGAGAUAUGUUAGAUACUUUUAUUUUUUUUGUUAUUAAAUCCUUGUUGCUUUUGUACCACAAUUUCUUUUCUAUGAACAAUUAACAAUGCAAUAAUUUUAGUUAGGCAUCAAUAUUUGGUAUUCUCAUAUAUAUGAAAUUAUAUGAUCAAUUUCUAUAUUUUUCGAGCAUUGUUAGUCGCCAAAGCGACCUAUGCUCAUUUUUAAUUAUAGUUAUUGGAUCAUAUAAUGUUUAUUGUAUUUUUUGGUGGGAUGCAUAAUGAUGUCUUAAUUUUGAGAAUUGUGAUCUUAGGUAGUUUUGGAUAUUUUAUUACAGUAAUCACGUAUUGUACGGAUAACAUAAGGUUUGAUUAUAUUUUCAUAGCAGAAAUAUAGACUUUUAUGAGUCUAAUUUAAUUUUACCAGAUUUUUAAAGUAUAUUGGGUGUAUUGUUAGUCGCCAAAGUGGCCUAUACAUUUAAUAUAGAUUUGAGUUAAUUUGGUAAGUUAUUUGAUAUCAAUUGCUUAACACCUCAUUUCAUAUAUAUGAUUGUCUUUGACCCAAAGGUUAUUUGUACAAUUAUUUGGAGGUGGAAUAAAGUGAUAAAUAUUAAUCUUAAUUAGCUUGAAACUAUUAGCCUAAAGGCAUGGAAUUGAACUAGUUGAGAGAGUUGAAUUAUCAUUCUUAUUCAUAUUUAAGAUUUAUUUGUAGAGUGAAUCAAUAGCAAACUAAUUCUCGAACCCAAAGGUAGGUUUUAGUGUUGCACUCGAUUACUCAUUAGCCUUAGACUUAAACUUUGUGCGAGAAACAUGCUGAAAACUAUUAGUAUUAAGUCUAGUCUCAAUAGACGGGGUAGGCAAAAGAGCGGGCAAACUAGAUUUUACAGAAGUAGUCACACCAGAUGGACUACUAGAACAAGCAAUAAGAGAGUUAAUUCUAGUUUUGUCCAAAACCUUCUCUAAAGCUGCAAUUUUACAUAACAAGUCAAGUUUUUCUUUUUCAAAUAAUUGAGAAAUAGAAAUUGCAUCAUCUGCAGCGUAAGAAAUUUGUUUUUCAAGAGUCUCAACUUUAUCCUGCAAAGAAAGAUUAGCCUUUUUCCAAAUUUUCAAUUUUGGAUUCAUAAACUUCCCCUUGAAGCAUAUAGUCUUCUGCACAAUGUCUGAGUCGUUGUUCUAGAGAAUCAACCUUAGUCUGCAAAACACCAUUAUCUUCAAAACAAAAAUUAUCAGAAAUAGUAGACAAAUUACAAUUAGCUUUAUUGAACUUUUCCUGCAAAUCAGUAUUAGCUUUUUGUAACCUUUCACAUUCUUUUGCAAAAAGCCUGUAAAGAAGAGCCCAAUCACUAUUGCUAACAACAUACAAAUUAUCAUCUUUUUCAAAAUCAGAUUUUGGUUUUGUGGAUUUGGACGAUUUACCAAUAAAAUUAUUAUAAACAGACUCAUUAACCAUUAUUGCACUCAUAGGAUCUACGCGUGUGCCAUUACGCUCCAUAACAAGCGCCCCGCUCUGAUACCAAUUGAAAAACCAAAUAUAUGUGCAAUAUAACAAUAGUGAAGCAAACAAUAAAGCAGUAAACAAGUAAAGAACACACGAUAUUUUUAACGUGGUAAAACCCAAUAUGGGAAACGUCCACGGUUGUCCUCGUGACAACAAAUAAAUCCACUAGAUGAAAAGAGAUGUACAAACCUAUCAACUACCUGCAAUCACUGCGAGUUGACACUACCGGUUAUCUCUAACACCUUGACUUCACCAGAGUACCUUGAUGUACGCACAAGACACUCAACUUCUUGAUGAACAUUCAAGAAGACUCGAAGCCGAUCUAUGUAACAAGCUUACACCAGAGUUCCUUGAUGAACACACAAGGAUACUCGAUUUCUUGAUGAACACACAAGUGAAACCGGCACUCGGUUGUUUGACAUUAAUUUUGUGAUAUUGGAUGUCCAUGGUUAUCUCGCCUUGAGUUCAUUGUUAGGAAAACCUCGUUGUACGCGCGUCAUCCCGAGUCUUUGUCUUCGCGUUAAGUGUAUCAAAAGUCUGUUUUUGGGUUUAGGACGUACGUACCUAGUUAGGGCGUACGUACGUCAUGUUAGGCAGCAAACAUGUUUUGGUCAGGACGUACGUACCUAGUUAGGGCGUUCGUACGUCCAAGUAGGCAGCGAACUAUUUACGUCUCAGGACGUACGUACGCUGUUUCGACGUACGUACGUCCAAUAUGUGUUUUGUCUAUUUCGGCCCAUUUUCUCUUGUUUCAAACCCUAGGUUAUAAAUAGGUCGUUGGUGUUAUGUGAAAGGCAAGAGUUCCAACCUAGCCUCCAUAGAACCCUAGUUUGUUUGUUGGCUCUUCCACAAAGAUCAUCUUCUUCCUUAAUUGAUCUUUGUGUACUUCUAUCUUCUAUCCUUCCCCAAUUCAUCUUCCUAUCAUUGUUUAUAUUGAUUUAGCUUCGAGUCUUCUUGUGUGUUCAUCAAGAAGUCGAGUAUCCUUGUGUGUUCAUCAAAGAACUCUGGUGUAAGCUUGUUUCAUAGUUCGGCUUCGAGUCUUCUUGUGUGUUCAUCAAGAAGUCGAGUAUCCUUGUGUGUUCAUCAAGGAACUCUGGUGUAAGCUUGUUUCAUAGUUCGGCUUCGAGUCUUCUUGUGUGUUCAUCAAGAAGUCGAGUGUCUUGUGCGUACAUCAAGGUGCUCUGGUGAAGUCAAGGUGUUAGAGAUAACCAGGAGUGUCAACUCGCAGUGAUUGCAGGUAAUUGAUAGGUUUGUAAAUCUCUUUUCAUCUAGUGGAUUUAUUUGUUGUCGCGAGGACAACCGUGGACGUUUCCCAUAUUGGGUUUUACCACGUUAAAAAUAUUGUGUGUUCUUUAUUUGUUUGUCGUUUCAUUAUUUGCCUUAUUAUUGUUAUAUUGCACAUAUAUUGGGUUCUCAACAAGAAGACUCGAAGCUAAAUCACUAUUCAAUAAAGAAAAAAAAGAUGAAUGGGGAAGAAGAAGAUGAGUUCAAUCACCAAAACAACCUAAACCAAAACCUAAACAAACUCCAAGACUAGAGAUGAAUUGGACGGCCAAAGAACUGGUUUGUUCUUUGGUAAAAAACCCUAUAUAUAGUUAGGGUUUGAAACAAGAGAAAAUGGGCCGAAAUUGACAGAUUUCAUAUUGGACGUACGUACGUCGAAACAGCGUACGUACGUCAAGAGACGUAAAUAGUUCGCUGCCUACUUGGACGUACGAACGCCCUAACUAGGUACGUACGUCCAAAACACAAAAGUUUGUUGCUGCCUAACAAGACGUACGUACGCCCUAACUCGGUACGUACGUCCUAUACCAAACAUGACUUAGACAAACUUGACGCGAAGAGAAGGACUAGGGACGAUGCGCGUACAACGAGGUUUUCCUAACAAUGAACCCAAGGCGAGAUAACCGAGAUAACUAAUGUCACUAAAUUAAUGUCAAAUAACCGAGUGCCGGUUUCAAUUCUUACCUUCACUAAAGCUUUACACCUGCUUUCUGGGUAUGCUAUAUGGAAGCAUGGGAGUUGUUCAUUGACAAAGUUGGUUCUGAUGUAAUGUCAUCUCCUGAAAUAGAAACAACUGCAAAGAACAUCACUGAAGAAUGUGGAGGUUUGCCACUUGCAAUCAUAACAGUAGGACGAGCGAUGAGGAAAGUUAACAACAUCAGAAUCUGAGAAAUGCAUUAGAAAAGCUGAAAAAUUCAAGAGCAAAGAUUGAAGGCGUGGAAGAUGAUGUCUUUGCAUGUCUGAAGUUUGAAGAACUAGUAGACUAGUAGAGUACUGUAGGAGUACAGCGCAACAAUCUUCAUUCUUUGACCAUAUGUGCAAUCUUCACUAUAUGUCCUUGCGUUAUUGUAAAGUCAAAAAGCUCAAAGAAUUAAGGAUAUUGGUAGUUUGACAAGUCUAAGACAUCUUGACCUCUCUUAUACUGAAAAGUGCAGAAGUUCACUGGUAAACUAAUACCAAAGUUGCAGCAGCAUUGCAGAAAACCUAUCAAUGUUUAGCAGAAGUUCCCUGGUAAACUAAUACCAAAGUCUACCUGAGUUGACAAAUAUUUAUAGCAGAGUAUUGAUAUGUAAUUCACUUACCACACAAUCUUAUAAAGGAAGUAAAAAAUUGUGGGAUGCUUUGGAAUGGACAAUGAUGCUUUGCAGAAAACAUGGAAGAGGAUGAUGCAGUACUAGUAGGAGAGAUAGAGAUGGAAAUGAAGAUGAUGCUGAAGAAGACGAUGACAUUGAUGAGGAUACAUUUGAAAUUGCAAGAUAGUACAUCUGGCAUCACAGGACCUCUAUUCCAAGAAAAUGAAUUUGCAUAAAACAUAACAUACACAGAAUUUUACAACAUUUGCCUAAUCUACCAAAAAAAAGUUGCGAAAUGAGUCUUGGUGGUUUCAUUCUCCCACUCUAAUCCAUUCCACCACUCAGCCUCUCCUUCAAUCUUCUUGAGUGUGUUCUUAGCACUGUUUGAGUCAAGUGGUAGCCUCGUCAGCUUUGGGCAAUAUGUCACAUCUAUAGUUUCCAAGGAUGGGAAAGACAAUGCAUUGGUAUGGCUACAUAUGGACUGGAGAUUGGGCAAAUUAAAUAAUUCCAACCUUUUGAGAUUUGAAAAAGUAGUAUUUUCAUCACACGGAUAUCCUCCUCCUCCUGAUUCCUCAGAAGAAGAUAUUAUGUCUUGAAGACUACUACAAUCACAUAUAUAUAGUGCUUGUAGAUUUGGAAUGAGAAGAAGCCAUGUAAGAUCCACCAUUGCGUGACACCCAUCAAGAUUUACCCAAUGAAGUUUUCUGAAAUGUGCACAAUGGAGAUUCCUUGCAUCCCAUGAGAUAAUUAAUUUGGGGAGAUUAUAGAGGAACAUUUUCUCCAAGCUUUCAAAUAACCCAAUCUCUGGGUCAUCAUCAUUUGUGAUGCAAUCAAAUUUCCACUCUUUGAUCUCUGUACAGUUAAGAAUGUGAAGAAAUUGCAGUUUUUGAAGACGUCCAAGAGAUAAAUGUGAUGAUGAUGAUGCUGAAAGUGUGGGUAAGGUAGUCUCUUUGCAAUUUUCAAUACCCAAAUACUUUAGACAAUUACACAAGCGGGGGUUGCUGAGUAACCUCUCAAGAUCUUUGAAAUCUGAAAUAGAGAUUCUCAGAUAUUUCAAUUUGUUCAAGCAUCUCAAUUCUUCAAAUUCGAAAAAUUCCUCUGAAGAAUCAUCAGAUUUUAAAACAUGCAACUCCAAAAACUCCAAAUUCGAAAAAUACAUUAUCAUUCCUCGUGGAAUUGAAACCUCUCUUCCAAGCAAACAAAAACAAAGGACUUUCAACUUUGUUAAAUUCCCCAUCUCGGAAGGCAAAUUUGUGAUAUUUGUAUAAUUAAGAUUAAGGUAUUUCAACUCAGACAAUUCACAAAUGCUUGUGGGUAGUUUUGUGAUUUUACUGAAUGAUAGAUCUAAGAACUUAAGAUUGGGCAUAGAAAGGAAAAAGUCGUCAUUUAUAUGGUUUAAAUCUCUAUUAUCGGGAGCAAAGAAGGUUGAAAGGUUUGGGCAGCUUGGUAAUUUUUCAAGAUGAGUGAUUCCAGUAUACAUCAAGGAUAUUGUUUCCACCACUGUAGGAUGUAAAUCAAUUAUGGGGAAUUUUUUCAAGUUGUAACCUGACUUCACAAUAACCUUACCUUUGUCUCUCCCAGCGAUCCAUAAAGCUAAUUCUCUAAUCACAUCAUGCAUUUUCACCUUAUCUUCAUUAUCCCCGUUCUCUAACAAACAUGUACGCUUUAGGGUGCCAAUGAUGCCAUGACCGAUAUUAAAAGCUUCUUCAAAAUCCUCAAAACCACCAAUAUACCCCAUCCCAAUCCAUUUGUAUAUUAAAUCGUCUUUUGAAAUUGAAUAGUCUUCUGGAUACAAGGCACAAAACAAGAAACAUACCUGAUCAAUAGGACGUGGUAACUUAUCGUAGCUGAACUUCAGAAGAUGAAACACACGCUUUUCGAUAUCUGGAAACUUUGCCACAGACUUGUUCAAUUCUGAGAUGGCAAGUUUCCACUCGCGAGGAUUCAUCUUGCUUGCCAUGGACGCACCGAUGGUGAUGAGCACUAAUGGUAGUCCAUGACAUUUUUCUGCAACUGUUUCAGCCAACUUUGGAAUCUGUGGAUCAGCAUCAAGGGUCUGUUGUCCAACUUUUUUUUGAAAUAAGACCCAUGAUUGUUCCUUGUUCAAGGAUUUCACUUCAAUUGUUUUGUCUGUUCCCAUGGCGCCACAUACAUCUAAUGACCGUGUUGAAAGAACAAUUUUAGACUUGUUUUCAACACUAGGAAGAGGUAUUCCUAUACUUAGCAGAUCAAGUUCUUUCCAUACAUCGUCGAGCAAUAUCAAAAAUUUCUUCUUUUUCAAUGCAUUAAGAAUGUGAUUGGCUCGCGAACAUAAAAGAACACUAUCAGACCAUGAAUUCAAUCCCAAUCUCUCUCGAAUGGUUUCUUGAACAGCUCCCAUAUUUACCUCCCUCGAUAUAAGCACCCAUAUGACGACAUCAAAGUCAUUGUUUCUUUUCAGGAACUCAUUGUUGAUUUUCUUUAAAAGGGUAGUCUUCCCAACUCCACCGACUCCAUACAAUCCCAAGACUUGAAUAUCAUCUUUUCGAAGGAUACUUAGUGCAUUUUCAAAUUCAGAAACCAAGCCAACCGUAAAGUUUUCUGGCAACUCUUGAACUGAAGGGCAAGGUGGGUUCUCAGCCACAAUUUCGAAGACUCCAUCACGUUUUAGUUCUUCCACAAGUAGUAACUUCUUUACCACCUUUUUGCCCAACUUGUAGCUACUCCAACAAUUCUUAGGACAACAACCAUUGAGGCACCUUCUCUCAAGUUGUUGUGUCCCUUCAAGUAUGGUUCGGUCCACCUCAGGUCGGCUGUCUUCCACUCUUUUCAUCCAUCUGUCCACCUGAUUAGUGCGUUUUUUUAGCCCCUCCUCUUCAACGAUGACCUUAUUGUUGACGUCGCUCUUAAGCUCAUUCAGUUGAGUCAUUUCUUUCUUGAGCUGAUCGAGAUUUUCUUGAAGUGCACAGAGGUAAUUGAGAUGCUUUGUACUACAAUGCAUUACACGAGAUACAAUAUCAAUAAUGGGACUAACAAAAUCGGCCAUGGUUCUUUAGGCACAAUUUCAGUGAGGGGCUUGGUGUAUUUUUUGCUUCAAAGAGGAACAACAGCUUGGUGAAAUGAAAACUUGAAAGUUGAAAGAAGAUAGAGAAAUUAAUGUCUAGGAACUACUAUAGCAGGCCAAAUCAAUUAUAUAAUCAACUUGAUGGAAUAAAUGUAAAGCAGAGCAGAGGUCCAAGGGUAGUAUGCCGAACACGAGGGAGUGGGUCAUUCCCACAUGCUUUUGUCUGAUGAUAGAAAAUAAGUGGUUGAGUUUUGAAAAAGAAAUGUCCUGAUGCAGUUAUGGAAAUGUAGAGGUCUCUAGUUUUAAAAAAAGUAAUAGUUGUAGAAUUCUUGAGUCUUCAUUUAACAAUGCAGUGUCCCAACCGUAGUCACCAGGGAAUUCACCAGUAAGGUAUGAUGGGGCUUCACCAGAGAAUGGUCCCAAGUAUUUAACUCUGUCAGGACCAUACCAUGGGCUAGAUGAGACUGUCUUUGGCUUUGGUACAGUCUUUCUCAUGGAGAUUCUUCCCUCACCGAGAAGCUCAGAUGAUGAUGGGGAAAGUUUUACCGCCUUUCCAGCAAAAGUAGAAGAAAGUGCCAUUGUUGAAGCAGCCAUUGUAAGUGUAAAAAGAGAAGGUUUUACACUAAAAAUGAAGAUUAAUGCUAUUAGUUUGAGAUGUUUGUAACACUUGUAAGAGUCUGUAUUAAUAGUACUGAAAGGG